rnacentral:lncRNA from 1 species
UAAAUUAAUACAUGUUUUUAUUACAUUUUUCAAAUUUUUCAUAGCAUACAAUUCUCAAAUCCCAAUUUCUUUGCGUGGCAAAUUGAGAGAAAAGAAAGAAUUAAAAAAAAAAAAAAAACCCACCGUGAAGGUGACAGUUGCAAAUUUUCUAUUAAUUGCAUGAAAUUUUAUGGAACCACGCGUAGGUUUAGCCGUACUCUGACAAUUUGUGAUAUACAAAAACUGUAAGUGCUUUUAACAAGUUAGUGGCUUUAACAGAGAAACCUUUUUGGUAAUGUGGGCUACGUUGGAUUCCAAACACCGCAUGCUUACCUAAUUUUAGUAGAAAAAUGCUUCGACUCUGGAUUUCAUCAAUUUCUGGGUGCACAAUGAAAAGCAGUAGACAUAAUUAAUGGCGAACGUUAUCUCAUAUCUGAGGAUGGAGCUAAAUUUUCUAAUGGCGAACGUUAUCUCAUAUCUGAUGAUGGAGUUUAAAUUUUCUUUCUUAAUUUUUUUUUCUUUUUCUUUUUAUAAUAAGCGAGCCUCUGCUAAGGAGGCACUUACUAAUAAUAAAUAAAUUACCUGGGUUAGAACUUGGAAGGUUUGUUUAAAAUGGGCAUUUUAAAAGUUAUAUAUAUAUAUAUAAUUAAUUAGUCCGAUUGGGAAACAUCAAUUAAUCCGUCCCUUCUUGGUGUUGGUUAUGUGCUUCCUUUGCUCGUCGAUGGGAAUUUGAGCAUGUCGCUUGUAGCCUUGUGAUUCAACAUGCAUGAAUUUGAGAUCUAUUUCUGCUGUGCAUAUGGUUGCCUUACGAAUCUUUAUAGAGUUUUCUUUGAAAACUUUUUAGAGACAAUAUAAAAAUAGAUAAAUUAUACUUUUAUGCAUUUAUAUGGUUCAAUUUAUAUGGGUAUUUAUAUGAAAGUUAGAGAAGAAAAAUAAUAUAAUGAAAAUAAUUUAGAAAUAAUGAUUGAUUAGUAAAUAUUAAGUCAAUCAAUCUUUUUGAAAUCAAUAGUUAAUAUGAAGAAAUCAAUCAUUUGAUUUAUUGUUUUGAUUCUAUCAUUGUCUGUUUCUUAUAAAAUUAAAGUAUAAAUUUACGUUUGCUUUAAUUGCCUUGUAUUCUUGAUGAGUUAAUUAAUAAAUUAUCAUUUCUUUGUUGUUGUUGGUGGUGGCGUUGGUGAGAGAGAGAAAGGAGAAGUACAAAUGGGUACAAUUGCUAAAUAAUCCAACAAAUCAAUGAGAGAGCAUAUUGCAUAUUGCAUAUUGCAUAUUGCAUAUUGCAUAUUGCGUAUCACACAUCGAUCAUUCUCUCUACAAUUUGUUUGCAAUUAGCUUUUGGGAGUGAGUGUACUCUUUAUCAUGGUACUACUAACUACUCUGGCUACCAAAACUGAAGGGCCCCAAAUAUCACAUUGCCUGCCUAUGUGUGAUGAUAAGUUAAUAAUGAAAUUUUCAAUGGUGUAUUGCUUGGCUUUGGCAAGCUUCUUGGUUCUUUUUACUUAUUAUUAAAAAUAAAUUAGCACAAAGUUCCACUUUCGUGUGGAAGCCACGCUAUAUUCGAUUAAAAAUAACAGAUGGAGUCCACUUUCGCGUGGAAGCCACACAAUAUCCAUCCACUUCCAUUUGCCUUUUUCCCGUGCAACAUUGUGUUUAUUAUAUAUAUACGUUUCUUCUCAAAUAAAAAUUCCUGCUACAAAUGUUGAUAAUUGAUUAUCGUUACAACAUCACAUAUUUUUAUACUUUUAAUUAACAAAUUAAAUUCCAAAUGCUAACUUUUGUCGCUUAGGGUGAGUUGUUUAGUAAUUUUAAAGCUUUUAAUUAAA